rnacentral:rRNA from 1 species
UACAGAGGUCCCAAGCGUUGUUCGGAUUCACUGGGCGUAAAGGGUGCGUAGGCGGCGCGGUAAGUCGGGUGUGAAAUCUCGGAGCUUAACUCCGAAACUGCAUUCGAUACUGCCGUGCUUGAGGACUGGAGAGGAGACUGGAAUUUACGGUGUAGCGGUGAAAUGCGUAGAUAUCGUAAGGAAGACCAGUGGCGAAGGCGGGUCUCUGGACAGUUCCUGACGCUGAGGCGCGAAAGCCAGGGGAGCAAACGGG